rnacentral:tRNA from 1 species
UGCCCGAUAGUGUAACGGUAACACUCAUGAUUCUGGAUCAUGUUUUGGGGGUUCAAAUCCUCCUCGGGCAG